rnacentral:rRNA from 1 species
CAGUCGCCGCGGGAAUACGGAGGGUGCAAGCGUUAUCCGGAUUCACUGGGUUUAAAGGGUGCGUAGGCGGAUCUGUAAGUCAGUGGUGAAAUCUCCAGGCUUAACCUGGAAACUGCCGUUGAUACUAUAGGUCUUGAAUUUUGUGGAGGUUAGCGGAAUAUGUCAUGUAGCGGUGAAAUGCAUAGAUAUGACAUAGAACACCAAUUGCGAAGGCAGCUGGCUACACAACUAUUGACGCUGAGGCACGAAAGCGUGGGGAUCAAACAGGAUUAGAUACCCGCGUAGUCCCUGUCUCUUAUAC